GUGUUUUGGGUUCAGGAGCACGUGUACGAAGAUUGGAAUGACAGGGAGAAUAUCAGCACGGUCCCUGCACAAGGAGGACGCAGAAAUUCAUGAAGUGUUCUACAUUUCU